UAAAAAUCAAAAAAAAA
rnacentral:sRNA from 1 species